GACGAACGCUGGCGGCGUGCUUAACACAUGCAAGUCGAACGAUGAACCCGGAGCUUGCUCCGGUGGAUUAGUGGCGAACGGGUGAGUAACACGUGAGUAACCUGCCCUUGACUCUGGGAUAACUGCGGGAAACUGUAGCUAAUCCCGGCUACGACCCUCGGCCGCAUCGACAGGGGGGGGAACAAAUUUCGGGCGAGGAUGGACUCGCGGCCUAUCAGCUAGUGGGUGAGGUAAGGGCUCACCAAGGCGAGGACGGGUAGCUGGCCGGAGGGUGACCGGCCACACUGGGACUGAGACACGGCCCAGACUCCUACGGGAGGCAGCAGUGGGGAAUAUUGCACAAUGGGCGCAAGCCUGAUGCAGCAACGCCGCGUGAGGGAUGACGGCCUUGGGGUUGUAAACCUCUUUUAGUAGGGAAGAAGCGAAAGUGACGGUACCUGCAGAAAAAGCACCGGCUAACUACGUGCCAGCCGCCGCGGUAA
rnacentral:rRNA from 1 species